AUUUAUUAAACGACAUACACCAAGUGACAAGGAUGGGCCUUUCGUGCCAUUCCAGGAACGCUGGGCCAGGGUCUCGUCGACAGAGCAGAUUCACUUCUCGGUGUCUUGGUUGGGACCUGGGUAUAGGGCCCAGGAGUGACGCUACCCAAGGACAAGGAUGAAGGAAGGCAGCAUUGUCGUUGGAAGCACGUGCCUUUUAAUCAUCUACAGAUCUCAACUGUAGAAAAGAUACCUAUGCUCUGUUAAAGAUGGCUCCAAUUUUCCUGUCAACUUGAAUGCGAGAUGGAAGAAGUAAUGCUGGUGAAUGAAAUCAACACAUCCUUAUUUUAAGGGGUGAAACGAAGAUGAGAGAUGGAGUGUCACUCAUUAAAG